rnacentral:rRNA from 1 species
AGUUAGUGGCAGACGGGUGAGUAAUGCAUAGGAAUCUACCUAGUAGUAUAGGAUAGCCACUAGAAGUGGUGGGUAAUACUGUAUAAUCCCUGCGGGGGAAAGAUUUAUCGCUACAUGAUGAGCCUAUGUUAGAUUAGCUAGUUGGUGGGGUAAUGGCCUACCAAGGCAGUGAUCUAUAGCUGGUCUGAGAGGAUGAUCAGCCACACUGGAACUGAGACACGGUCCAGACUCCUACGGGAGGCAGCAGUGGGGAAUAUUGGACAAUGGGCGCAAGCCUGAUCCAGCUAUGCCGCGUGAGUGAGGAAGGCCUUAGGGUUGUAAAACUCUUUCAGUGGGGAAGAUAAUGACGGUACCCACAGAAGAAGUCCCGGCAAACUCCGUGCCAGCAGCCGCGGUAAUACGGAGGGGGCAAGCGUUGUUCGGAAUUAUUGGGCGUAAAGGGCAUGUAGGUGGUUUGGUUAGUUAAAGGUGAAAUGCCAGGGCUUAACCCUGGAGCUGCUUUUAAUACUGC